rnacentral:rRNA from 1 species
CGUGUAGGCGGCCAGAUAAGUCCGCUGUGAAAACUCGAGGCUCAACUUCGAGCUGUCGGUGGAAACUGUCUGGCUAGAGUCCGGAAGAGGAGAGUGGAAUUCCUGGUGUAGCGGUGAAAUGCGCAGAUAUCAGGAAGAACAUCCGUGGCGAAGGCGGCUCUCUGGGACGGUACUGACGCUGAGCGACGAAGCGGUGGGAGCGAACA